GACGAACGCUGGCGGCGUGCUUAACACAUGCAAGUCGAACGGAAAGGCCCUGCUUUUGUGGGGUGCUCGAGUGGCGAACGGGUGAGUAACACGUGAGUAACCUGCCCUUGACUUUGGGAUAACUUCAGGAAACUGGGGCUAAUACCGGAUAGGAGCUCCUGCUGCAUGGUGGGGGUUGGAAAGUUUCGGCCGUUGGGGCUGGACUCGCGGCUUAUCAGCUUCAUGGUGGGGUAGUUGCUUACCAAGGCUUUGACGGAUAGCCUGCCUGAGAGGGUGACCGGCCACAUUGGGACUGAGAUACGGAGCAGACUCCAACGGGAGGCAGCAGUGGGGAAUAUUGCACAGUGGGCGGAAGCCUGAUGCAGCAACGCCGCGUGCGGGAUGACGGCCUUCGGGUUGUAAACCGCUUUCGCCUGUGACGAAGCGUGAGUGACGGUAAUGAGUAAAGAAGCACCGGCUAACUACGUG
rnacentral:rRNA from 1 species